UACGAAGGGGGCUAGCGUUACUCGGAUUGACUGGGCGUAAAGGGCGCGUAGGCGGAUGGUACAGUCAGACGUGAAAUUCCUGGGCUCAACCUGGGGGCUGCGUUUGAUACGUGCUGUCUGGAGUUCGGAAGAGGGUCGUGGAAUUCCCAGUGUAGAGGUGAAAUUCGUAGAUAUUGGGAAGGACACCGGUGGCGAAGGCGGCGACCUGGUCCGAUACUGACGCUGAGGCGCGAAAGCGUGGGGAGCAAACAGG
rnacentral:rRNA from 1 species